rnacentral:rRNA from 1 species
GACGAACGCUGGCGGCGUGCUUAACACAUGCAAGUCGAACGGAAAGGCCCUGCUUGCAGGGUACUCGAGUGGCGAACGGGUGAGUAACACGUGGGUGAUCUGCCCUGCACUUCGGGAUAAGCCUGGGAAACUGGGUCUAAUACCGGAUAGGAGCCAUUUUUAGUGUGAUGGUUGGAAAGUUUUUUCGGUGUAGGAUGAGCUCGCGGCCUAUCAGCUUGUUGGUGGGGUAAUGGCCUACCAAGGCGGCGACGGGUAGCCGGACUGAGAGGGUGGACGGCCAUAUUGGGACUGAGGGACGGCCCAGACUCCUACGGGAGGCAGCAGGGGGGAAUAUUGCACAAUGGGCGCAAGCCUGAUGCAGCGACGCCGCGUGGGGGAUGACGGCCUUCGGGUUGUAAAAUCCUUUCGCUAGGGACGAAGCUUUUUGUGACGGUACCUAGAGAAGAAGCACCGGCUAACUACGUG